GAUUGUGUUGUGAGGCUGACUUGCUUGGGAGAUUAUUUAUAUUCCUAAGCGAUUCACCCUUAUAGACACCUUCA
rfam:Haemonchus contortus, ISE/inbred ISE, WGS project CAVP01000000 data, contig: Hcontortus_6210